rnacentral:rRNA from 1 species
AAUUUGAAAUCUGGCCCCUUCGGGGUCCGAGUUGUAAUUUGUAGAGAGUGCUUCGGGGGAGACCGCGGUCUAAGUCCAUUGGAACAUGGCGUCAUAGAGGGUGAGAAUCCCGUAUGUGACCGUGGCUCGAACCCGUGUGAAGCCUCUUCGACGAGUCGAGUUGUUUGGGAAUGCAGCUCAAAAUGGGUGGUAAAUUUCAUCUAAAGCUAAAUACUGGCUGGAGACCGAUAGCGCACAAGUAGAGUGAUCGAAAGAUGAAAAGCACUUUGGAAAGAGAGUUAAAAAGUACGUGAAAUUGUUGAAAGGGAAGCGCUGGCAACCAGACCUGCCCGUAGGCGAUCAGCCGCUGUUCUCAGCGGUGCACUCGCUCUGCGAUCAGGCCAGCAUCGGUUCCGGCGGUCGGAUAAAGGCCUUGGGAAUGUAGCUUCCCUUCGGGGGAGUCUUAUAGCCCUCGGUGCAAUGCGGCCAGCCGGGACCGAGGACCGCGCUUCGGCUAGGAUGCUGGCGUAAUGGUUGUCAGCGACCC